rnacentral:rRNA from 1 species
GACGGACGCUGGCGGCGUGCUUAACACAUGCAAGUCGAACGGCAAGGCCCUGCUUUUGUGGGGUGCUCGAGUGGCGAACGGGUGAGUAACACGUGAGUAACCUGCCCUUGACUUUGGGAUAACUUCAGGAAACUGGGGCUAAUACCGGAUAGGAGCUCCUGCUGCAUGGUGGGGGUUGGAAAGUUUCGGCGGUUGGGGAUGGACUCGCGGCUUAUCAGCUUGUUGGUUGGGUAGUGGCUUACCAAGGCUUUGACGGGUAGCCGGCCUGAGAGGGUUACCGGCCACAUUGGGACUGAGAUACGGCCCAGACUCCUACGGGAGGCAGCAGUGGGGAAUAUUGCACAAUGGGCGGAAGCCUGAUGCAGCAACGCCGCGUGCGGGAUGACGGCCUUCGGGUUGUAAACCGCUUUCGCCUGUGACGAAGCGUGAGUGACGGUAAUGGGUAAAGAAGCACCGGCUAACUACGUG